AGGAGCAGCCGCACGGAAGAGGAAGGCCAGAGAACACACCAGAAGAGGAUCCCAACCGCGGAGGCGGAGGCCCAGCGUCCAGCGAGCGAGACCGGCGCCAUGCGGCUGCCGCACGCGUCCGACCUCCGCGCCUUCCUCGCCGCGGCCGCCGUCGCGCACCUCUCCUCCUCCCCGGCCUCCCGCGCGUCCCCAUGCGCGGCCCCUCCCCUGCCGGCGCCGCGGCUCCGCUCGUUCGCCUCCUCCCGCGCCUCGACGCCGCCCUCCUCAGCCUCGCCCUCGCCCGCGGGGGCGGUCGUCUCGGCGGGCGCCUCCGCGGCCGCCGCGGCCUGCGAGCAGGGGGCGGCGAAGCCCGCGAUAUGCACGGCCGAUGAGCUGCACUACGCGCCCAUGCCGGGCACCGAGUGGCGGCUCGCGCUCUGGCGGUACCGCCCGCCGCCUGAGGCGCCGAAGAGGAACCACCCGCUGAUGCUGCUGUCUGGAGUGGCGACGAACGCUGUUGGGUUCGACCUGUCCCCUGGAGCUUCUUUUGCUCGUCAUAUGUCUAUGCAAGGAUUUGAUACAUGGAUUGUUGAAGUGCGUGGUGCAGGCUUGAGCAUGCGUGGAUCAGAACUAGCUGCAGCUAACACCAAAUCUGACAUGCCCCCAGAUUCUAGUUUGGAUGAAAGUUCUACAGCAAAAGCAAAUGUUGUUGUUCCUGCCAAGAAUAUGCCCACUUCUGAACCUCAAACUUCUGAAGUUCCAGUAAUAGCAGAUAAGAACAUGGCAGGAACAAGUACAUCAGAAGAACCACAGCUGGUAAUAAAGUUAUCAAAUACUUUGGCACGAUUGGGUGAAAUAUUCUCAAGCUAUGUGAAAGAUAGCCGUCUGAAAAACAUAGCUGAUAGCUUUUUUGAUCGAGUUUCAGAACUUGCUCCUGAUACCUCCUUAGCUAGCCUUGAGGAGAUUUCAGAAAAGAUUUUAGGUUUGUUGGAAUUGCCGCAAACGUCAGUGAUAUCUGAUCAAAUUAGCAAUUUAAGUCAGCGCCUUGUGAAGAUUCUUGGGGAAGGCCAGCAAACUGUUUCACCUCGGUUAUUUGGGUGGCAAGAACGCCUCUCCGCAACCAUCGAAGACCUGCAGAAACAGUUGGAGCUGAUUAUUAGCUAUGAUUGGGACUUUGACCAUUAUCUGGAAGAAGACGUACCUGCUGCGAUGGAUUACAUAAGAAAGCAGAGUGUACCAAAGGAUGGAAAGUUGCUCGCCAUUGGUCAUUCCAUGGGAGGAAUCUUAUUGUAUGCGAUGGUUUCGAAGUGUGGAUUUGAAGGGGCUGAGCCAGAGCUGGCAGCAAUUGUUACUUUGGCUUCAUCAGUUGACUACACAACAUCCAAUUCCUCACUAAAGAUGCUGUUGCCUCUUGCAGAUCCAGCUGAGAUGUUGCGCGUUCCUGCUAUCCCACUAGGAGCAUUACUGUCUACUACCUAUCCUAUAUCAUCCCGUGCACCAUAUAUUCUGUCACUGCUGCGUUCUCAAAUUUCAGCCAAGGAGAUGAUGGACCCUGAACUUCUUUCAAAGCUUAUCUUGAAUAACUUUUGCACAGUACCUGCAAAGGUUCUAUUACAGCUGACGACUGCAUUCCGUGAUGGUGGUCUGUGCAACAGGAAUGGUACCUUUUUCUUCAAAGAACAUCUUCACAAAAUCAAAGUUCCGGUACUUGCCCUUGCUGGAGAUGAGGAUCUGAUUUGCCCCCCAGAAGCCGUUUACGAAACUGUGAAACUAAUUCCUCAGCAUUUGGUCACAUAUAAGGUUUUCGGAGCCCCUGAAGGACCUCACUAUGCACAUUAUGACUUAGUUGGAGGGCGGAAGGCUGUCCAUGAAGUGUACCCGUGUAUAAUAGAGUUCCUCUCUCAGCAUGACAAUGUGUCUUCAUGAGUUUUCACCACUGAUAUCUAUAAUUGUACGAUGGUCAAGACAUUGAAAUACGUGAUGUGUAGAAACAACCAUGUAGCAGUAGCAGUAGAGAAACGAACUCAGCUGGAUGUUGGCACCUUGGGCCGGAUUGGUGGUAUCUUCAAAAUCGAUGUCUAUCUUUUAGCUCUCCUCUCCAGAUGCAAUGUUGCAAAUGUAAUCUCAAACUGCAGUGCUAUUGUUUUUGGGUUCGUCACUUCGUCAGUGCGGGGUCAUGAAAGUAUCAGCACGUGCACGAGGAUCAAUUGUAAGGAUCACCGGAAGUCGUAAGCCCAAAGUAGAGAAAUUCAGUCCAACUGUAAUUGCACGAGAAGGCACAACCCUUACGAUGGCACGUUGUAAACACAUUACACGGUUCAUCAGAAUUGACACUGCAAAACUUCUUCGAAAUUACCCUCCAACAAGAGGGUAUCAGAAUUCAGAACCCAUAGAUUUGAUGAAA